GUAGUAGUAGUAGUAGUAAAACAUGAGACUCUUAAUCUCAGGGUUGUGGUUUCAAGCCCCAUGUUGGGCA